rnacentral:rRNA from 1 species
UACGUAGGGGGCAAGCGUUGUCCGGAUUUAUUGGGCGUAAAGAGCGUGUAGGCGCCAGACAGGUCCGUUGUGAAAACUCGAGGCUCAACCUCGAGACGCCGAUGGAAACCGUCUGGCUAGAGUCCGGAAGAGGCGAGUGGAAUUCCUGGUGUAGCGGUGAAAUGCGCAGAUAUCAGGAGGAACACCAAUUGCGAAGGCAGCUCGCUGGGACGUUACUGACGCUGAGACGCGAAAGCGUGGGGAGCAAACAGG